rnacentral:piRNA from 1 species
UUUAAAUAUCUUUUCUACUUAAAGCGGGGACC